CCUGUGUGCUGCUUGGGCUAAUGAGAAAACAUUGAGCAGCAUUGGCUGCUCAGCUGAUCACAUUCAGUCUAUCACAGUGUCCAUUGCUGAUAUGUAUAAGCAAAAAGAAAGACUAAUCUCCGCAUUAGCCUUACCUCUAGUAGGGGCAAGAGUGAGAGUGGCCAAAGACCUUUAUUUAGUGUUAAAUGACUUGAAAAUGGUUU